GGGCACUUAGCUUAGUGGGAGAGCGCCUGCUUCACACGCAGGAGGUCACAGGUUCAAAUCCUGUAGUGCCCACCA
rnacentral:tRNA from 1 species